rnacentral:rRNA from 1 species
AGUUUCUUGAAUUGUAAUAAGAAAUGAAGCCUGCUCAGUGCUUUUUAACAGCCGCGGUAAUUUGACCGUGCAAAGGUAGCAUAAUCAUUUGCCUCAUAAUUGGGGGCUAGUAUGAAUGGAAUUACGAAAAACUAACUGUCUUUAGUAAGUCUUAGAAUUUGCUUUUACUGUGAAGAAGCAGUAAUUUAUUAAUGGGACAAGAAGACCCUUUUGAGCUUUAUUUUUCUUUAUGUUAGUCAUUAAGUGAAAAAUUUGGUUGGGGUGACCAAGGAAAAAUUUAUCUUCCUGAAAUGUUGAAUUUAUGUGUGAUCCAAUUUUUUUGAUUAAAAGACUAAGUUACCAUAGGGAUAACAGCGUAAUUUUUUUUGUGAGUUCUUAUUAAAAAAAAAGAUUGCGACCUCGAUGUUGACUUAUAGGUGCUUUUUGGUGCAGACGUUAAAAUUAGCAGGUCUGUUCGACUUUUAAAACUUU